rnacentral:rRNA from 1 species
GCAAAAGAAGUAGGUAACUUAACCUUCGGGAGGGCGCUUACCACUUUGUGAUUCAUGACUGGGGUGAAGUCGUAACAAGGUAACCGUAGGGGAACCUGCGGUUGGAUCACCUCCUUA